GAGUGCCAAUGAGUGUGAAUGGAAGUGAGUGUGAGUGGUAUGUAUGUAUGUAUUGGAUUCAUACAUACCACUCACACUCACUUUCCAUUCACACUCAUUGGCACU
rnacentral:pre_miRNA from 1 species